AGCAGUGAGGGAUUUAAAGCAAACAGACCUGUUUCCAAGCCUGUUUAUACCACCUCCCAACACUUGAGCUUGGAGAUCUGAUUAUAGGCUGGACUUGAGUCACCACGGGGACACGGAUGAAGAAGUAGGUGCCAGAAAGAGACUAAGAUGGCAGGCAUUCACCUCUGGACUGGAUCCUGCAAACCAACCCGCCGGCCUAAACUUCAUUCCUUUGGGCCCUUCACCUGUCCACUUCAGUACCUUGAUGCUCCGAGGGGAAGAAGCAGGACCUGGG